AAAUCAGGGAGCGAAAGUGGAAGGAAAAGAGAGAAUAAAACGCCAAACAAGUCCCUUCCUAUGACUGCAUUCAUGAACAGCAACGUGCAGGGUGUCAACAACUCCAUUCUCCAUAAUGCUUCUUGCACUCACCAUGAUCCUGGUGUUCACCUUGUUUUUGCAAGAAAGACCAAUGGUAGGCAUGGGUUCAACAUUAAGGGCAGUCCAAAGAGCUAAAAUAUGUUGAAAAGACAGUCAAACACUCAGAGUCUUCUUCAUGGAUGGUCCUUUUUUCUAUUGGUAUUUUGAAAAAAUAAAUUGAGUGGUAUGGAAAAGGGGAUGGAUUCUGAUUCUUCAUGCAUGGCUGCAACCCACUUCUCAUGCACGAGAACCAUCCUUCAUUUUGGAAGGACAGAGAGAAUCUACGCACAGUGUUACUCCAUGCAAUAAACCUUUCUUAUGUAUUGAGCAAUGCUUCUUGCACUCACCAUGACCCUGGUGUCCACCUUGUUUUUGCAAGAAAGACAAAUGGUAGGCAUGGGUUCCACAUUAGGGGCAGUCCAAAGAGCUAAAAUAUGUUUAAAGGACAGUCAAACACUCAAGAGUCUUUUUCAUGGAGGGUCCUUUUUUUUCAAUUGGUAUUUUGAAAAAAUAAAUUUAGUGGUACGAAAAGGGCAUGGAUUCUGAUUCUUCAUGCAUGGCUGCGACCCACUUCUCAAGCACGAGAACCAUCCUUGCCCGUGGAAGGACAGAGAGAAUCUAUGCACAAUGUUACUACAUGCAAUAAACCUUUCUUAUGUAUUGAGCAUUAUUAUUGUUCUAUGUAAUUUGUAACUCCAAUAUAUCAAGAACUCCCCAUCUCUUAUUAAUUUAGAUAUAUUUAGUAAAUAAUGAAUACCAGCUUUCAAGAUAACAACAAUGAGACUGGAUAAAUAAUAUUAACAAGCUGUAUUACAUUGUUAAUGAAUGUUAAAGGGAAUAGGUGACCAUCCCUUUUUGAAUAAAUUUCCCAUCUGAAAAGGAAUAGCUACUAUAUAUCAAGAGAAUCUGUUGUUUAGUUCGUAAUUUGGGGCCAUUUCAUAUACAAUUAAGCAUGGAGAUCAUUAAAGCCCGUCGCCUUAUGGUCAAAUGUUCAUGUAUGAUUUUGUAACUUUAGUUUUUAAUUAGACUGAAAUGCAUAACACACAUUCAAACGCUUGAAUAUGAAUAUCUCUUUAUUUGCUUUUGAGCUUAGUAAAUCCAAAAUGGGAAUUCUAGAAAAAGGACUACGAAAGCGUUUUAUGUAACUGAAGGCCAGUAAAUAGCAAGGUCUAAGCAAUAGGUAUAUACUUGUAAACAAAGCAAGAAAACAUGACGUAAAUAACCAAUGGGUCGAAUUAUUACCUGCAAAAUCGUAUGUCUAAGGAUAGAGGCGCUGGAUUGAACAAAUUGUCAAAUCACAAGUGAAAAUUGCUAAGGCGUUCUGAGAUACACGACGUUAAUUCUUAGGGUUUAGUAACAUCGAUCGUAUCCAUAUAUCACCUCUCCCAUCUUCUGGUUGCAAGGAAAUUAUUCCGGCAAGGUUCUGCAGUAUCUGAAUUUUCAUCUUCGUUCUAAGGAGAAGAGGUUAAAUAAGGAGUAAAAAAGGGAAGUUGAAGGGUGGUGCUAAUGGCGCAAGGCCGAAAAGGGAAUGAAGAAAACGGUGAUUGAUAGGCAAUUGUUAUUGGGGCCGCUUGGUUUAUUGAUUUUGGGCUUGCGUUGCUACAGUGAAAGACCUGA
rnacentral:lncRNA from 1 species